GAGCCUGGCUGAGUGCUGCCACUGUCGGCGGAGUUUCAGGUCGGCUGAGGCACUGUCCCCUUGAAUGUGCCGACACUGACACGCAGUAGUUGGGCUGAUUACUAAGUGUCUUAUUUGGCCCGAUUGGGGUUUGAUGGGCUACUGCCAGUUUUCGAAUCAAUCUCGGCAGACGGAUUUCAUACAGUGUGUGGCCCGAUACUUCAGGAACGAACACUGAUCAGUAUCGCGGCUGUUGGCGGCAAAAAUUAAACAUUUAGCGACAGCCGGACGCUAAACGUACAUGGCCCAAUUCUGUAAAGUGACUGUCGGCCCAUUACAUGUGGAAGAGCCACGAGCAGAGUCAGUUUGAAACCAGCAGGACGGCGCGAAACUGUCUCGUUUUGGACACUGCCUGUGAAUCCAGGCCCCACUGACUAGAGACCUGCCUGCACUCCUUUGGAUGAAGAAGGCUACCCGUGUAUACAUGUGUGAACCAUUUCUUGUGUUGGAAAAACAGGAGACCUGAAGAGCUCUUGAUGCUUUUGGUUUGCCUCAUCCAUUAUGUCAGCAAAGAACAGGAGUGGGCAGGAAAAAC